rnacentral:rRNA from 1 species
AAGAGUUUGAUCAUGGCUCAGAUUGAACGCUGGCGGCAGGCCUAACACAUGCAAGUCGAACGGUAACAGGAAGCAGCUUGCUGCUUUGCUGACGAGUGGCGGACGGGUGAGUAAUGUCUGGGAAACUGCCUGAUGGAGGGGGAUAACUACUGGAAACGGUAGCUAAUACCGCAUAACGUCGCAAGACCAAAGAGGGGGACCUUAGGGCCUCUUGCCAUCGGAUGUGCCCAGAUGGGAUUAGCUAGUAGGUGGGGUAACGGCUCACCUAGGCGACGAUCCCUAGCUGGUCUGAGAGGAUGACCAGCCACACUGGAACUGAGACACGGUCCAGACUCCUACGGGAGGCAGCAGUGGGGAAUAUUGCACAAUGGGCGCAAGCCUGAUGCAGCCAUGCCGCGUGUAUGAAGAAGGCCUUCGGGUUGUAAAGUACUUUCAGCGGGGAGGAAGGGAGUAAAGUUAAUACCUUUGCUCAUUGACGUUACCCGCAGAAGAAGCACCGGCUAACUCCGUGCCAGCAGCCGCGGUAAUACGGAGGGUGCAAGCGUUAAUCGGAAUUACUGGGCGUAAAGCGCACGCAGGCGGUUUGUUAAGUCAGAUGUGAAAUCCCCGGGCUCAACCUGGGAACUGCAUCUGAUACUGGCAAGCUUGAGUCUCGUAGAGGGGGGUAGAAUUCCAGGUGUAGCGGUGAAAUGCGUAGAGAUCUGGAGGAAUACCGGUGGCGAAGGCGGCCCCCUGGACGAAGACUGACGCUCAGGUGCGAAAGCGUGGGGAGCAAACAGGAUUAGAUACCCUGGUAGUCCACGCCGUAAACGAUGUCGACUUGGAGGUUGUGCCCUUGAGGCGUGGCUUCCGGAGCUAACGCGUUAAGUCGACCGCCUGGGGAGUACGGCCGCAAGGUUAAAACUCAAAUGAAUUGACGGGGGCCCGCACAAGCGGUGGAGCAUGUGGUUUAAUUCGAUGCAACGCGAAGAACCUUACCUGGUCUUGACAUCCACGGAAGUUUUCAGAGAUGAGAAUGUGCCUUCGGGAACCGUGAGACAGGUGCUGCAUGGCUGUCGUCAGCUCGUGUUGUGAAAUGUUGGGUUAAGUCCCGCAACGAGCGCAACCCUUAUCCUUUGUUGCCAGCGGUCCGGCCGGGAACUCAAAGGAGACUGCCAGUGAUAAACUGGAGGAAGGUGGGGAUGACGUCAAGUCAUCAUGGCCCUUACGACCAGGGCUACACACGUGCUACAAUGGCGCAUACAAAGAGAAGCGACCUCGCGAGAGCAAGCGGACCUCAUAAAGUGCGUCGUAGUCCGGAUUGGAGUCUGCAACUCGACUCCAUGAAGUCGGAAUCGCUAGUAAUCGUGGAUCAGAAUGCCACGGUGAAUACGUUCCCGGGCCUUGUACACACCGCCCGUCACACCAUGGGAGUGGGUUGCAAAAGAAGUAGGUAGCUUAACCUUCGGGAGGGCGCUUACCACUUUGUGAUUCAUGACUGGGGUGAAGUCGUAACAAGGUAACCGUAGGGGAACCUGCGGUUGGAUCACCUCCUU